AUUGAACGCUGGCGGAAUGCUUUACACAUGCAAGUCGAACGGUAGAGGGGGCAACCCCUCGAGAGUGGCGAACGGGUGAGUAAUAUAUCGGAACGUGCCCAGUCGUGGGGGAUAACGUAGCGAAAGUUACGCUAAUACCGCAUACGAUCUAAGGAUGAAAGCGGGGGAUCGCAAGACCUCGCGCGAUUGGAGCGGCCGAUAUCAGAUUAGGUAGUUGGUGGGGUAAAAGCCCACCAAGCCAACGAUCUGUAGCUGGUCUGAGAGGACGACCAGCCACACUGGAACUGAGACACGGUCCAGACUCCUACGGGAGGCAGCAGUGGGGAAUUUUGGACAAUGGACGCAAGUCUGAUCCAGCCAUUCCGUGUGCAGGAUGAAGGCCCUCGGGUUGUAAACUGCUUUUGUACGGAACGAAAAGGUCUCUCUUAAUACGGGGGACUCAUGACGGUACCGUAAGAAUAAGCACCGGCUAACUACGUGCCAGCAGCCGCGGUAA
rnacentral:rRNA from 1 species